UAGUGAGUGACCCUGCCUGAAGCAGGCAAGCGGGCAUUAGCAAGAAUUCUACUGGUUAAAUUUCCUAAAUAUUCCAAUUCCUGUUUUAAAAACAGCAUUUGCGUUUCUAGUCUAUAAAUAACUGAGUACCACCUCCCUCAGCAGGACCUUAAAGCUUUGCCUUGGUUCCUGAAAAAAGGACUCUUCCUGCUACUUGGACAGUUACAGCUUCUAAGGAAGGAACAGCACAGAGUAGGGAAGCCUGGGGCUAAGGGGCCAGUAAAAUGUUAAAUAACCAGGUUUACACAAAGGACAGAAACCACACUACUGAGUUAGAGAUUGUGGAGUUCUGUGGUGACAAUAAUUCUGUCCUUCUGUCAGUGCCUAAGUGGCCACUGGAAGCAGAGUUUUGCCUUGGAAGCCAGAUGAAUAUGGCCAAUUAAAGAAAGCCAAACUUACGUUUUUGAAAAUUAAAUUGAUCCUGAUGUUCUGUCAGAACAAAUUGUACCUGUGCAUGUUUGUCGCUGAAAUGAAUCCUGUCUAAAGCUGGGCCUUGCUGACUUUCAGUUUCCACCUAAGAUGAUUUGGGUACAGCCUGAGAAUCUGUUCCAUGGGACUAUCUGCAAAAUAUAACAAGAACUGGAACUUUCCAGUAAGUUCUUCCUCCACAGGACUCUUAACUGUUCUCGUUUUGUUUUUGUUAUCAUUCAGAGUCAGCUGGUAUGUACUUUCAUGCUUGCCUGGGAAAACUCAACUGUUUUUUCCUUCAAGAUUUUCUGUGAUGAUUUCUCAGGUACUUUCAAGUAGCCUGUUACCUAUUCAGAGAGUCUCCUUGAGCUCAGAAUUAAAAUUGCCCUGAAUUUUUGAAGAUCCAAAAUCUUAUGUAAAUAGCCAUUGGUAGUUAAGUGGGUUUUAUUUUUUAGUCUUGUGCUUGCCCUUGGUCUGACAUAAGUGAUCAGACUGCCAGGAGAAGAUGUUAGAGAAGCUCACUAGAGCCUACCAUCUGUUGAAGGCACAUUUUACACAGUAUUCCAAGCCCCUAGUGCAUAAUUAGUAGUGGGUGGUUCUCACAUCAGCUUGACAUCUGGAGUUAGGGUUGUCCGUCUGGGGCCUUGUCUGCUGUCAGGUGUGUACAGACCUGUGCUUGUAGUGUACUGCAGGCAUGCACACUAGUCCACUGCCAAGUGUGGCCCUAGGCAUGGGAUCCCGGGGGCUCCAGGAAAAUGCUAUUGUGUCAUAUCUGGAACACAACUUUGUCAAGUCACUCUUUAUGCACCUUCCUUUGCUUUAUCAAUUGUAAAUCAGAUAAUAAAAUGUAAAUCAGUUAAUAAACAUGAGGCUUCUUAAAUUG
rnacentral:lncRNA from 1 species